rnacentral:rRNA from 1 species
GAUCAUGGCUCAGAUUGAACGCUGGCGGCAUGCUUUACACAUGCAAGUCGAACGGCAGCGCGGGGCAACCUGGCGGCGAGUGGCGAACGGGUGAGUAAUAUAUCGGAACGUACCCAGAAGUGGGGGAUAACGUAGCGAAAGUUACGCUAAUACCGCAUACGAUCUACGGAUGAAAGUGGGGGACCUUCGGGCCUCAUGCUUGUGGAGCGGCCGAUAUCUGAUUAGCUAGUUGGUAGGGUAAAGGCCUACCAAGGCGACGAUCAGUAGCUGGUCUGAGAGGACGACCAGCCACACUGGGACUGAGACACGGCCCAGACUCCUACGGGAGGCAGCAGUGGGGAAUUUUGGACAAUGGGCGCAAGCCUGAUCCAACAAUGCCGCGUGAGUGAAGAAGGCCUUCGGGUUGUAAAGCUCUUUUGUCAGGGAAGAACGGCAGAGGCUAAUAUCCUUUGCUAAUGACGGUACCUGAAGAAUAAGCACCGGCUAACUACGUGCCAGCAGCCGCGGUAAUACGUAGGGUGCAAGCGUUAAUCGGGAAUUACUGGGGCGUAAAGCG